rnacentral:rRNA from 1 species
AAUUGACGGGGACCCGCACAAGCGGUGGAUGAUGUGGAUUAAUUCGAUGCAACGCGAAGAACCUUACUACCCUUGACAUGUCCGGAACUUGCCAGAGAUGGCUUGGUGCCCGAAAGGGAAUCGGAACACAGGUGCUGCAUGGCUGUCGUCAGCUCGUGUCGUGAGAUGUUGGGUUAAGUCCCGCAACGAGCGCAACCCUUAUCAUUAGUUGCUACGCAAAGGCACUCUAAUGAGACUGCCGGUGACAAACCGGAGGAAGGUGGGGAUGACGUCAAGUCCUCAUGGCCCUUAUGGGUAGGGCUUCACACGUCAUACAAUGGUCGGUACAGAGGGUUGCCAAGCCGCGAGGCGGAGCCAAUCCCACAAAGCCGAUCGUAGUCCGGAUUGUUCUCUGCAACUCGAGAGCAUGAAGUCGGAAUCGCUAGUAAUCGCAGGUCAGCAUACUGCGGUGAAUACGUUCCCGGGUCUU